GGACGGGUGAGUAAUGUCUGGGAAACUGCCUGAUGGAGGGGGGAUAACUACUGGAAACAGUAGCUAAUACCGCAUAACGUCGCAAGACCAAAGAGGGGGACCUUCGGGCCUCUUGCCAUCGGAUGUGCCCAGAUGGGAUUAGCUAGUAGGUGGGGUAACGGCUCACCUAGGCGACGAUCCCUAGCUGGUCUGAGAGGAUGACCAGCCACACUGGAACUGAGACACGGUCCAGACUCCUACGGGAGGCAGCAUG
rnacentral:rRNA from 1 species